UGUAGGGAUGGGUGGGUGUUUUGUACUCCACAUGGUGUGAUAGGAUGGACGGAGAUGGUGUGUAGAGGAUGGGGUAGGACUCUGUUUAUCUGUAUGAUUCUGAUUAUCUAAUUCUGACAUGAUCUGUUUCUGUUAAGGACUUAUGUCUAUAUCUAUACCUAUUUCGCAUAUGUAAAUUUUGAAUAUAUUUGAAUAUCUAUCUCUGUUGGGUUACACACUGAGUUUAUGAAAACUCACAUUUGUUUUUCUAUUUUGUUUAGGUAAUCCUCAGACAUAGGC
rnacentral:lncRNA from 1 species